UGUUGGGAGAUGAACUCUUGAUAUUUUUUUUAACUUACAGGAAUAACACGUAAUUUUUUAGUUUCAGUUGGGACUGUGAUUUAAGUGAAGAAGUUCACAGGAAAAUCGAGAAAUUUUACAGAAUGUAUGAAAGAGAAAAGGACAGACGCAGAUCAAAAGAUUUCAAGAAAAGCAAAAAUAAAAAAAAGCAUAG